AUUGAACGCUGGCGGCAGGCUUAACACAUGCAAGUCGAGCGGAGAUGAGGUGCUUGCACCUUAUCUUAGCGGCGGACGGGUGUGUAAUGCUUAGGAAUCUGCCUAUUAGUGGGGGACAACAUUCCGAAAGGAAUGCUAAUACCGCAUACGUCCUACGGGAGAAAGCAGGGGAUCUUCGGAACUUGCGCUAAUAGAUGAGCCUAAGUCGGAUUAGCUAGUUGGUGGGGUAAAGGCCUACCAAGGCGACGAUCUGUAGCGGGUCUGAGAGGAUGAUCCGCCACACUGGGACUGAGACUCGGCCCAGGCUCCUACGGGAGGCAGCAGUGGGGAAUAUUGGACAAUGGGGGGAACCCUGAUCCAGCCAUGCCGCGUGUGUGAAGAAGGCCUUAUGGUUGUAAAGCACUUUAAGCGAGGAGGAGGCUACUGAGACUAAUACUCUUGGAUAGUGGACGUUACUCGCAGAAUAAGCACCGGCUAACUCUGUGCCAGCCGCCGCCGUAAUAC
rnacentral:rRNA from 1 species